GAUAGAUCUAGCUCACAGUCUGCGUUUAGGAUGGUAUAGCCAUCCAAUCCCCACAUGGAGGGGAUUGUCGUCGAGUACUCCGGAGUGUCGCGCGACUAGGACCACUUGGAGGUCCGGACCACAUGGAGGUCCGCAGACGGUCCCGGGCUUGGGUGCACUUGGAGCUCCCUCCCCACUUUGGGAUUGGAAGAUGAGUUAUGGGUGAGCCCUAGGGCCUCGCCACAGAUUGGGUAAAUGAAAGGUUAAAGGUUUAAUAAAUGUCAUUGAACAUAGCUAUUCGAACAUGGAUCGAAUUUGGUAGCAUGGUAGCAAACCUUUAUUAUAUGAUGCAUGCAUUCAUAUUCAUGAUUAUGGGCAUAGUAGCAUAGUUUUCCUACUACUGCAUUUACAGCUUUCAGA
rnacentral:lncRNA from 1 species